rnacentral:rRNA from 1 species
AGUGAACGCUGGCGGCGUGCCUAAUACAUGCAAGUCGAACGGAGAUUAAAUAGCUUGCUAUUUAAUCUUAGUGGCGCACGGGUGAGUAAUAUAUAGUUAAUCUGCCCCAUAGUGGAGGACAACAGUUAGAAAUGACUGCUAAUACUCCAUACUCCUUCUUAUCAUAAGUUAAGUCGGGAAAGUUUUUCGCUAUGGGAUGAGACUAUAUCGUAUCAGCUAGUUGGUGAGGUAAUGGCUUACCAAGGCUAUGACGCGUAACUGGUCUGAGAGGAUGAUCAGUCACAUUGGAACUGAGACACGGUCCAAACUCCUACGGGAGGCAGCAGUAGGGAAUAUUGCGCAAUGGGGGAAACCCUGACGCAGCAACGCCGCGUGGAGGAUGACACUUUUCGGAGCGUAAACUCCUUUUGUUAGGGAAGAAUAAUGACGGUACCUAACGAAUAAGCACCGGCUAACUCCGUGCCAGCAGCCGCGGUAAUACGGAGGGUGCAAGCGUUACUCGGAAUCACUGGGCGUAAAGGACGCGUAGGCGGAUUAUCAAGUCUCUUGUGAAAUCUAGUGGCUUAACCACUAAACUGCUUGGGAAACUGAUAAUCUAGAGUAAGGGAGAGGCAGAUGGAAUUCUUGGUGUAGGGGUAAAAUCCGUAGAGAUCAAGAAGAAUACUUAUUGCGAAGGCGAUUUGCUAGAACUUAACUGACGCUAAUGCGUGAAAGCGUGGGGAGCAAACAGG